GGCCUCAAAGAAUGGAGAAAGGACUGGGGAAGACAGUAACCGAACUAGGAUGUAUUCAUAGUGUCUGAUGGGGCC